UUAUCUGCAGCUGGAAAAUGGGACCUCCUGAGAAAAAGUCGAAAAAACAUAAAAAAGAGAAGCAGAAUGCCAAGAGUGCACUAAAUCUGAAACCAGAUGUUACGGAAGAAGAAAAACAUCCACCAAAGAGUCCGAAAAAACGGAAGCAUGCAUCUCCUGUGAGAGAAAGUCCUCUACCCGAAAGCCCCUCAAAGAAGAAGAAACACGCCUUAGAUUUCUUCACAGCCUCUCCAAAGCAAAAAGUAGCCCUGGACACUUCUACGGCCUCCCCGAAAAAGAAGAUCAAAUUUGAUGAAAGCAAUACAGUUGGAUCUGAAAACUCAGCCGCUGAAAGCAAUCAGAAGCCGUUGCAGAACUGUAAUAAUAAGGAAGCAGAGACCUCAGACACAUCUGCAGAACCGAGGAAGAAUGACAUAUUUGGUUGGCCACAGAAAGAUGUUAAGAAGCUUAUCGAACGACUCAUCCUAGAGACCACCAAUAAUAUCAAGUCUACUAAAUCAACAAUUGCACCUCAGAAAAUAAAUUGGGACAAGGUCAAAUUUGACAAGUAUAGCGCUGAUGAAUGUCUUAACAUGUGGCUCCAUGUUGAUAGCAAUCAAAGAAAGUUCAGGACAUUAGCUGAAAUUCUGGAAGACGCUGCAAAGUGGGUAGAAAAACCCCACUACAGUAUGAAUAAUUUCAGGAGGAUCUUUCCAGACAUGCCAAAGCAACCUAUGUCAGCCUUUUUCCUUUUUUCUCAAGAAAAAAGAUGACCUGCGGCAAAAAUAUCCAGAUUUAUCUUU
rnacentral:lncRNA from 1 species